rnacentral:sRNA from 1 species
AACUAACUAAACUGGAUAUAUGACAUAACUAUGAUAUAUAUUCUUUUGAAACCAAAAAAAAAGAACAAAAACAAGCGGAAAAACCGUAAUACAGUUGAGUAAACUACACUUAAAAAUAGAAGUGAGAAGUGAGAAACACUGCGGGACGAAAGAAAAAAAAAACCCCCAGAUGACAACUGAUGCACAAUCAAUCAUAAAUAGUAAAAGAAAGUUAAACAGCACAAAGAUAGAAAAUAAGGUUUUAAUAAUACAACUGGAGUUGCACGAAGAGAAAAAUAUAGGUUUGAAACAGAAACGGAAAAAGGAAAAGAGAAAACAAAAAUCAUUUGUUUAAAACAAGAACAACAGGGGCGAAUGAAUUGCAAGAAGAAGCAGAAACCCUCCCCUCCCCCCGUUACCGUAUCCCUUUCUUCAUUCCCUUGUAAAAAAGGAGGGGGAAAAAUAUGACCCCGAGUGCUGUAGUGCUAAAAAAGCGUACACCAAGGAAGGAAAAGCUAAUAAAACAAACAAAAAAUAUAUAUAAAUAAAUAGCCAUAUGAACAACGCUCACCCAUCCGGAAAGGGAAAAAAAAACAAGGACCAAAAAAUAUAGGGGCGCCGAAGUUAAGAAGUCCAGGUCGCUGAAGACAACGAAUAUAACGAAAAAAAAAGUAGUAAAAAAAGUAAAAAACGAGAAAGAGAUGGAGAUCUAUUUAUUUACUGCCCACUUUCGCACCAAACAGUAUUCAACCACCCAUUCGUAAGGCCUCGUAAGCUGGCUGUCGAGGAAGGCCAUUGGUCUUGACUGGCGCCUUCAAUGAAGAAGAUUACAUCGUCGCCUCCAAGGCAGCUCAUCCAACCAGGGCUGCUACUCCCGCUAGGGGUAUUAGCGCUUCCGGCAGAAUAUGGCCGCGGUGGAGCAUCAAACCUGGGUGGGUUAAGAUGGAGCUGUUGCGUGCCUGGCAGAGGUGGCAUGGGGAAGCUAUGUGGUGCGGCAGCAGAGAGAGAAGGGAGAGAUUGUGAGUAAGGCGCUGGAGGCGGUUUGCGGAAUGUGUUCCAUGGCUGGAUGGGUUGGAGGCGGUUUAAGGCUGCGGAGAGUUGUUGGGAGCUGGUGGAUGGUGCAGUUGAACUGUGGGUGGAGGAGGCAUAGGACCCAGGAGAUGUUAGUGAUGGCGGCGGAUUGUUUGAUGCGGUUGACGAAGGGAGGCUGUGCGGUAGCUGUAAUGAGGGGAGAGGAUAGCACUGUGGCUGCGGAGGGGCGAGAUUGGGCCAGCGGUCAUUCUCCAAGGGUCUGGGGCG